rnacentral:piRNA from 1 species
UUCUGCACAGCGAUCGUGAUUCCCACUCA